rnacentral:lncRNA from 1 species
CGUUUUCAUCUGAAAUUUGACGAGUGCUUAUGUAAUUAUAUUACACAUAAAAACAUUAUCAACAAAGGGUUUAAUUUUUAUUACUAAAAAUCUUGGUUAUUACAAUCAUCGAAAACAAAUCGUUAGUAAAACGGCUCGUUUACUACCGAUAGUAUUCUAGUUCAACUCUAUAUAUAUAUAUAUAUGAGCUAGGCUGGUAUACUAUCGGUAGCACGGAGGCCUCCAUGCUACCAAGUUGUUUUCAAUGAUGCGGCUUCUAAAUCGACGAUCGGCUCCGUUAGACUUGAUCUACACUAUUAAAAAUAUUUGGAAACUAAAUUUCAUAAUUUUUCGGCGUCAUUUACCAAUCAAACGAGUAGUCUAAAAAUGAACGGCUAAAAAUAAAAAUCUCAUAAAAAACAGUGAUAAAGAAUUCAAAUUUCAAAUCGGAAGUAUUGGUCUUGCUAUUGAUGUUAAGUAGAAUUUUCUAUUAAAUUUUCAUCUAAUUUGGAUACUUCUACACCGUUGAACUUAAAAACGCAUCAUAUCUACCAUUAAAAUUGUUAAUUUUGGAACCUUUUGAUCACUAGCCAAAUGAUGUCGAAAAAUUAUGAAAUUUAGUUUCCAAAUACUUUUAAUAGUGUAGAUCAAGUCUAACGGAGC